rnacentral:rRNA from 1 species
CCUACGGGAGGCUGCAGUGGGGAAUAUUGCACAAUGGGGGCAACCCUGAUGCAGCGACGCCGCGUGAGUGAAGAAGUAUUUCGGUAUGUAAAGCUCUAUCUGCAGGGAAGAAAAUGACGGUACCUGAUUAAGAAGCUCCGGCUAACUACGUGCCAGCAGCCGCGGUAAUACGUAGGGGUCAAGCGUUAUCCGGAUUUACUGGGUGUAAAGGGAGCGUAGACGGUGCAGCAAGUCUGAUGUGAAAGGUCGGGGCCCAACCGCGGGACUGCAUUGGAAACUGUUGAACUGGAGUACAGGAGAGGUAAGCGGAAUUCGUAGUGUAGCGGUGAAAUGCGUAGAUAUUAGGAGGAACACCGGUGGCGAAGGCGGCUUACUAGACUGUAACUGACGUUGAGGCUCGAAAGCGUGGGGAGCAAACAGGAUUAGAUACCCGGGUAGUC